GACGAACGCUGGCGGCGUGGAUUAGGCAUGCAAGUCGAACGGUUAUCAUCCGUUUCGGGGGUGAGAGAGUGGCGAACUGGUGAGUAACACGUAGGUUAUCUACCCUCAAGACGGGACAACCCAGGGAAACUUGGGCUAAUACCGGAUGUGAGCAACUUUUAGUUGUUUGAAAGGUGGCGUAAGCUGUCGCUUGGGGAUGAGCCUGCGUCCUAUUAGUUAGUUGGUGAGGUAACGGCUCACCUAGGCAAUGAUAGGUAGGCGGCCUUAACGGGUGGUCGCCCACACUGGGAUUGAGAUACGGCCCAGACUCCUACGGGAGGCAGCAGUCGAGAAUAGUCUACAAUGGUCGGAAGACUGAUAGUGCGACGCUGCGUGAACGAUGAAUCCCUUCGGGGUGUAAAGUUCUUUUAUAUGUGAGCAGUGCUUCUUAUAUUAACAGUAUGGGGAGAGAGAUAUUAGCAUAUGAAUAAGCAACGGCUAACUCCGUG
rnacentral:rRNA from 1 species